UACGAAGGGGGCGAGCGUUGUUCGGAUUUAGUCGUGGGCGUAAAGGGCGGCGCAGGCGGCGCAUCAAAGUCAGGGCGUGAAACCCCGGGCUUAACCUGGGAACUGCGGUCUGGGACUGGUGGGCUAGAGAUCGGGAGGAGGAGAGUGGAAAUUCCCAGUGUAGAGGUGAAAUUCGUAGAUAUUGGGAAGAACACCAGUGGCGAAGGCGGCUCUCUGGACCGAUACUGACGCUGAGGCGGCGAAAAGCGUGGGGAGCCAAACAGG
rnacentral:rRNA from 1 species